rnacentral:tRNA from 1 species
AUCAGGGUGGUGAAACUGGUAAGCACAUGGGACCUUGACUCCCACAUUUAGAGGUUCGAGCCCUCUCCCUGAUGCCA